ensembl:lncRNA
UGGGUGCCUGGAUGUUAAACUCAAUUGUUACACCUGGUAGAACAGAACGCUGAUCAUUUUAUUAAAGAUGAAAGACUUUAGACAGUUUUUCAACUCUCAGUAAUGCCAUAGUGAUCGUUUGACAUGUGAACCUGCAGCGGAGUUUAGGUCCAGACACGGCUAGUGACGUCAGACUGAACAACCGGAUUGGUGUUAGAAUUUACCAUGUCAGCCAAUCAAAAAAAUGAUAUGGCAACAUGCGGCACUUGGUUGUUUAGGGAGAAGGUGCAGUUUUAGGAGUGACACCCGCGACGGAAAGCGGCGAGCAAAAGAAAGAGAACGCAAGUUUUCAUAUGUGAGACAUUAGUGAUGUUUAGCGUUUUUGGAGGCUAGAGUUGGUGUGUAGUGUAGUUAUUGUUUUGUAUUGUGUCAGUUAUACUGCUGAAUGUCACAUUUGCUCCAAAAAAGCCAUCAAAAGCAGAUUCUAGUGUAAACGCUGUUCCCACAGGGAAAACAGGACUGAUACACCUCCUGUUGUCAGACCUGCAGGGUUUAGGCCUGUGCUGUUCUCUUCUGUCUUAUACUGAACACAAACUUUUUUUUCUUUUCUUUUUUUUUUUUUGGACCGGCACAAAUAAUUUGUGUGCCUUCUUAUUUGCUGCAGAACACCUGAUUGUUCUGUAAAUAGAUUUAGAUGGUUAUAUAAAAAAUGCCUGAGGCCUUGGCUGCAUUUUUAGGUAAAUAGUACCAUAUAACUUUGUUUGCAAAACUUGUGCAUGAACCUGAAGUUCCCAAAUUGAUAUAAAAAAAAUUUUUUUUAGCAACACUAAAUGCGUUUUUAAAACAAAAUGUUAGGUUUCAAGUUUAGGAGAAAAGUUGCUUCAACUAAGUUAUCCAUCAGAACCUAAAAAUCUAAAUGCAGUGGGUUGCCUUGAGUUUAAGUUUUCGCAACAAUUUUUUAUUUUUGUAUUUAUUAAUUUUACAGUGUUGAUGCUGUGCUCACAUGGGCUACAAAGAAAUCGCACUACAAACCUUCUAAAAAAAAAAACUCCACAGGUAUCUUUGACGAAACACCUGUUGUCUGACGACACAAUCAAAGAUCUGCACAUCAAUGGAAAAAAAUCUCGAAAGGGCCACCUAAACAUAAUAUAUAAUGUUCUGACUGAGAGACGUUUUGAAAAAAUUUAAACGUACAGCUCUGCUAUCACUUCCAACAUAAAUGAAGACAGAAAACUAAACAGCAGUGACUUUUUUUUUUUUUUUGGGGUUACUGAGGUUGGACUAGCUGGUACAUAAUGAUGUACUACGAGAUCACUAGCGAUACAGCUAUGUUAGCAUAACAUAAACACAGUGAAGCUGGAGGAUGAAAGCUAACCUUUUUCCAUUCGAUAAAAUUUAUGUGAGGGUUCCCAAAGGUUAGGGACGAAUUCAAUCGCAUGGCAGGAUGCUGUUGCAGAUUAAACGGCGCCUCUUCACAGCUCUGUGGGCACACAAUAGAAGUACUACAAGGACAUAGGGAAAAGGGACAAAGAGGGGAGGGAUAUAAAAUAUUCCAAAUGUUUCUUGAAUUGUUAGCACAGUGUAUAUGUGUAUGUAUCUAUCCAUCGAUUCACUUACGCCAGGGGUGGGCAAAUCCAGUCCCAGAGGGCCGGUGUCCUGCAGGUUUUAGAUCUCACCUUGGGUCAACACACCUGAAUCGCAUGAUUAGUUCGUUACCAGGCCUCUGGAGAACUUCAGGACAUUUUCAGGAGCUAAUUUAGCCAUUUAUAUCAGCUGUGUUGGUUCAAGGACACAUCUA